rnacentral:rRNA from 1 species
UACGAAGGGGGCGAGCGUUGUUCGGAUUUACUGGGCGUAAAGGGCGCGUAGGCGGCCGAUCAAGUCAGGCGUGAAAGCCCCGGGCUCAACCUGGGAAUGGCGCUUGGGACUGGUUGGCUUGAGUUCGGGAGAGGAGAGUGGAAUUCCCAGUGUAGAGGUGAAAUUCGUAGAUAUUGGGAAGAACACCGGUGGCGAAGGCGGCUCUCUGGACCGAGACUGACGCUGAGGCGCGAAAGCGUGGGGAGCAAACGGG